rnacentral:rRNA from 1 species
UACGAAGGGGGCUAGCGUUGUUCGGAUUUACUGGGCGUAAAGCGCACGUAGGCGGAUCGUUAAGUUAGGGGGUGAAAUCCCAGGGCUCAACCCUGGAACUGCCUUUAAUACUGGCGAUCUAGAGUCCGGAAGAGGUGAGUGGAACUCCUAGUGUAGAGGUGGAAUUCGUAGAUAUUAGGAAGAACACCAGUGGCGAAGGCGGCUCACUGGUCCGGUACUGACGCUGAGGUAGCGGAAAGCGU